GUACGGGAGGCAGCAGUGGGGAAUUUUGGACAAUGGGCGCAAGCCUGAUCCAGCCAUUCCGCGUGAGUGAAGAAGGCCUUCGGGUUGUAAAGCUCUUUCGGCAGGAACGAAACGGUCCUGGUUAAUACCUGGGGCUAAUGACGGUACCUGAAGAAGAAGCACCGGCUAACUACGUGCCAGCAGCCGCGGUAAUACGUAGGGUGCGAGCGUUAAUCGGAAUUACUGGGCGUAAAGCGUGCGCAGGCGGUUUUGUAAGACAGAUGUGAAAUCCCCGGGCUCAACCUGGGAACUGCGUUUGUGACUGCAAGACUCGAGUGUGGCAGAGGGGGGUGGAAUUCCACGUGUAGCAGUGAAAUGCGUAGAGAUGUGGAGGAACACCGAUGGCGAAGGCAGCCCCCUGGGUCAACACUGACGCUCAUGCACGAAAGCGUGGGUAGCAAACAGGAUUAGAUACCCCGGU
rnacentral:rRNA from 1 species